CACGGGGGUGGCAAGCGUUGUCCGGAAUUACUAGGCGUAAAGGGCAAGUAGGCGGAAUGGUAAGUCAGAUGUUAAAGGCACGGGCUCAACCGGUGUACGGCAUUUGAUACUGUUAUUCUAGAGUAAGGUGGGGGAAGACGGAAUUCCUGGUGUAGCGGUGGAAUGCGCAGAUAUCAGGAGGAACACCAGAGGCGAAGGCGGUCUUCUAUACCAUUACUGACGCUGAAUUGCGAAGGUGUGGGUAUCAAACAGGAUUAGAUACCCUGGUAGUCCACACAGUAAACGAUGUGCACUAGAUGUUGGGAGUUAUACACUUUCAGUGUCGCAGCAAACGCGUUAAGUGCAUCGCCUGGGGAGUACGAUCGCAAGGUUAAA
rnacentral:rRNA from 1 species